rnacentral:ncRNA from 12 species
AAUUGACGAGGUGGGAACAGCUACCCCACACGCCCGGCAACGGGUAAUUAGGUCUUUCGAGGCUGAAGAGAUGCAGGUUGGCAACUGCCGUUGUAU